rnacentral:rRNA from 1 species
UACGUAGGGGGCAAGCGUUGUCCGGAAUCAUUGGGCGUAAAGAGCGUGUAGGCGGCUUGGUAAGUCCGCUGUGAAAGUCCAGGGCUCAACCCUGGAAUGCCGGUGGAAACUGUCAAGCUUGAGUCCGGAAGAGGCGAGUGGAAUUCCUGGUGUAGCGGUGAAAUGCGCAGAUAUCAAGUGGAACACCAGUGGCGAAGGCGAGUCUCUGGACAUUUCCUGACGCUGAGGCACGAAAGCCAGGGGAGCAAACGGG